CCGCCCGUCACACCAUGAAAGCCUAGAAUGCCCGAAGUCACUGUGCUAACCGCAAGGAGGCAGGUGCCGAAGGCAGAAUAGGUGAUUGGGGUG
rnacentral:rRNA from 1 species